UACGGGGGGGGUAAGCGUUGUUCGGAAUUACUGGGCGUAAAGGGCUCGUAGGCGGCCAACUAAGUCAGACGUGAAAUCCCUCAGCUUAACUGGGGAACUGCGUGUGAUACUGGUCGGCUUGAGUGCAGGAGAGGAACGCGGAAUUCCAGGUGUAGCGGUGAAAUGCGUAGAUAUCUGGAGGAACACCGGUGGCGAAGGCGGCGUUCUGGACUGUAACUGACACUGAGAGACGAAAGCCAGGGGAGCAAACGGG
rnacentral:rRNA from 1 species